UGGGGAAUAUUGGACAAUGGGCGAAAGCCUGAUCCAGCCAUGCCGCGUGUGUGAAGAAGGUCUUCGGAUUGUAAAGCACUUUAAGUUGGGAGGAAGGGCAGUAAGCGAAUACCUUGCUGUUUUGACGUUACCGACAGAAUAAGCACCGGCUAACUCUGUGCCAGCAGCCGCGGUAAUACAGAGGGUGCAAGCGUUAAUCGGAAUUACUGGGCGUAAAGCGCGCGUAGGUGGUUCGUUAAGUUGAAUGUGAAAGCCCCGGGCUCAACCUGGGAACUGCAUCCAAAACGGGCGAGCUAGAGUAGGGCAGAGGGUGGUGGAAUUUCCUGUGUAGCGGUGAAAUGCGUAGAUAUAGGAAGGAACACCAGUGGCGAAGGCGACCACCAGGACUCAUACUGACACUGAGGUGCGAAAGCGUGGGGAGCAAACAGG
rnacentral:rRNA from 1 species